GACGAACGCUGGCGGCGUGCUUAACACAUGCAAGUCGAGCGGCGCGGCGAACGGGUGAGUAACGCGUUAGUAACUGCCCCCCUCUCUGGGAUAACAGAUGGAAACGGCUGCUAAUACCGGAUAGUGGGGGAUGACUCGCGUCCUAUCAGCUUGUUGGUAGGGUAGUGGCCUACCAAGGCGACGACGGGUAGCCGGCCUGAGAGGGUGACCGGCCACACUGGGCUGAGAUACGGCCCAGACUCCUACGGGAGGCAGCAGUGGGGAAUAUUGCACAAUGGGCGCAAGCCUGAUCCAGCCAUGCCGCGUGCAGGAUGAAGGUCCUAGGAUUGUAAACUGCUUUUGUUAGGGAAGGGUUUGUGUUAAUACCAUCGACUGCUGACGUACCUGAAGAAGAAGCACCGGCUAACUCCGUGCCAGCAGCCGCGGUAAUAC
rnacentral:rRNA from 1 species